GGGCCUAUAGCUCAGUCGGUAGAGCAACGGACUUUUAAUCCGUUAGGCCUAUUUAACGCCUGCGAACAGAUCCCAAUAAGAACUACGACCAACCCCUAUUUCAGGCUCA
rnacentral:tRNA from 1 species